rnacentral:lncRNA from 1 species
AUCAAUAUGGUAUAAAAGUUUAUCAACUGGGAAUAGAAACUGCAUGUGGCCGAUUGGGCAAAUGGCUAAAAGAGGGAAAUAAAUUUAGCUGACUGGCUAAAGUUAUCCACCUUUUUAAAUUGUGGGCCUUUUUUUUUUAAAAAAAAAAAAUGGUCAACCCAUGUCCUUUCCCCUAAAAAUAAUACCAAAAAUUCUCCCCUAAGAAAAUAAGGAAAAGUUUCCAACUUUACUCACAACCCAUAUGGGCCCAAUCUUCUUCCUUUUAGGCUUGGACUUGAAUCAUGAAAUAUGCAUAGCACUUUGCCCAUUCUUCUCCAUAAUUCAUGGACUCAUUCUUGGGCUCCUCUUCCAUCAUAGCAUCUUCUUGAUUUCACAUGGAAGCCCAAUAAUCUGAGCUUGAGGCUUUGACGAAGGUCUUCUUAGGGCUUCAAUAGCAUCACCAUUGCCUAUGGAGCUAUCAGGUAGUCUUUUAUCAUUAUCAUCAUGUAGCUCUAGAUAGUUAAUAUUAUCAGUUCCCUUGGGUUAAAACCAAUGCACAUAGUUGUGUUGUCUGAAAGCUUGAACGCGCUUUGGAGCUCGAAAGGAUGUCAAACUUGGAAUUGCAGAAAAAGAUAACCAUACUGAAAAGCCAAUUGCAUGAAUAAGUUCAACCAAAGUAGCUGCUGGGUUAGCAACCAAAAAGAUGAUUACUUGUCACCUGGAAAGGAUGUUGUACUACAUUGACUAAUUCUAGUCUUUCUCAUGAGUAGCUUGCUGGAGCAGCAUUUUGAGCCUCCUAACCAAUGCAUAGUUCGACACAUU